rnacentral:rRNA from 1 species
UGGGGAAUCUUGGACAAUGGGCGAAAGCCUGAUCCAGCAACGCCGCGUGAGUGAUGAAGGCCUUCGGGUCGUAAAGCUCUGUCGGUUGGAACGAAUAAAAGCCACCUAAUACGUGGCUUUAUGACGGUACCAGCAAAGGAAGCACCGGCUAACUCUGUGCCAGCAGCCGCGGUAAGACAGAGGGUGCAAGCGUUGUUCGGAAUUACUGGGCGUAAAGGGCGUGUAGGCGGUGGAGUGUGUCUGAUGUGAAAUCCCUCGGCUUAACCGGGGAACUGCAUCGGAAACUACUCUGCUGGAGUGCGAGAGAGGAAGGCGGAAUUCCCAGUGUAGAGGUGAAAUUCGUAGAUACUGGGAGGAACACCGGAGGCGAAGGCGGCCUUCUGGAUCGCAACUGACGCUGAGACGCGAAAGCGUGGGUAGCAAACAGGAUUAGAUACCCCGGUAGUCCCUGAGCGGGCUGGCAAGGCGCAU